rnacentral:rRNA from 1 species
UACAGAGGGUGCGAGCGUUAGUCGGAAUUACUGGGCGUAAAGCGCGCGUAGGCGGCUUUGCAAGUCGGGUGUGAAAUCCCCAGGCUUAACCUGGGAACUGCACUCGAGACUGCAUUGCUAGAGUAUGGGAGAGGGAAGUGGAAUUUCCGGUGUAGCGGUGAAAUGCGUAGAUAUCGGAAGGAACAUCAGUGGCGAAAGCGACUUCCUGGACCAAUACUGACGCUCAUGUGCGAAAGCGUGGGGAGCAAACAGG